rnacentral:lncRNA from 1 species
UUCAUGUAAGGUACGUGGAAGGGCUUCACCCUGAGGGGGUUUAAUAUAAGCACCCUGCCCUGAUGCACUUGUUAGUGGCUGAUUAUCCACGUCAUGAACCUAUAAUCUAUAUGUCACAAGUUCGAGUCAAUUUUACCAGUGAUCCAAGCAGUCGUGUAGCCACAUUGGACACCCUUCGUCGGAAUAUUAUAUCGUAUAUACAAGUAAAAUGACACAACAAUAUGAUGUAGCCUAGUGGUUUCAGGCACCUUGAAAUAGUAAAGAUACAAAAAAUUAAAGUGUUUGUGUGUUUAGAUUUCACUACUAGCAAAAAAAAUUCACUUUUUAAGAAGAGCAGAUUCACUUUAGCAUUUCGACACCCUUCGUGAAAAUCCUGGAUCGAAGGCUCCACAUCCCUUUGUUCCUAGAAAGUAUUCACCUAUUAACUAACUUUUAUCUGACUUAAGACAAGAUAUAUGAUGAAAAAUCCUAGGAUUCUUGUCACUAUUGAGAUAGCAGCAGCAACAAGAAAAUUGAACCAUUAUAUUCAAUAUACUCUUGAAUUUCCUGAUUAUUGAAUGAAUCGCUGACGUGAUAUAUCGAAUAUAGAGAUAUGUAUGUACAAGAACAAUAGUUACCUGGUGUUGGAAUGUACUUGAUAGUAGGAAAAAUAUGCACGAGGCAGACGCGAAAUCCAGGGGAAACAGCAUGAUCAAGUGCCCAUUGAACAACAUACAAGUCAUUUUUUCCAACAACUACAUAAACAUCAUUAGUUUCUGCAUCUUUUAUUGUACUACUCUUGCUAUCUUCUCCAAUCUCUUCGAUUUCCCUAGACAUCUCUUUCGACAAAUCUUGAAUAUAGCCGAUAACAACGAUGCUAGUUGUGGUGCUCAAUUCUGGUCCCUCAUUUGAUGGUGGUUUCUAGCGAAGACACCAACAAUGUAAUUUUUUUGUCAAGUUGUGGAGUGUUUCUUGGAUAUGUCACAGUCUAUGUAACAACUGUUCCUUUGAUGUAAAAAGAAACUUUUUUUAAUGCUUAUAGAAAAGAAUGAUGGUGGUUGCUAACAAAGACACCAAUAAAAUGAAAAAAAAAAGGAGAGUUUUAUGUGAAUUUUUUUUUCAUGUCUAACAUCUGUAGCCUGUAGGGUUCUUGGACAUGCCAUAUUCUAAGUAAAAAUUGUUCCUUUUUUAUGUAAAAGAAACAUUUUUUUUUUCACAUGGGCAAGUUUUAUUGGACCAUAUCACAAUUUUAUGAUAGUGCAAGUCAAUUUCUAAUGCUUUGAUUUUUCUCUUUUUCCUUUACUUGUGAUCUGUUUUUUCCAGAAUUGUCUCUUUCCAUGCUUAAAGGAUCAAAAUGUUAUAGUCUAUGCAACAAAUCUAACUAUUAUUAUAACCAUACAACAUUAAAGUAUCCGAUUGAGUCAGACAUUUUAUUAAGGAGUGUUAAAAUGUAAGUAUGUAAACAUAUCCUAACAAAAAAGAUCAAAAUGUAUAGUCUAUGCAACACAUCUAACUAUUACUAUGACAAUAAAAGAUUAAAGUAUGUGAUAGAGUCAGAUAUUUUAUUAAGGAGUCUUAAAACGUAAGUAUGACAUACCUGAAGAAAAAAGAAAAAAGAAGAUCCGAUGAAGUCAGACAUUUUAUUAAGGAAUGUUAAAAUGUAAGUAUGUAAACAUACCCCAACAAAAAAGAACAAAAUGUAUAGUCUAUGCAACACAUCUAACCAUUACUAUAACAACAAAAGAUUAAAGUAUCAUACCCCAACAAAAAAGAUCAAAAUGUGUAGUCUAUGCGCGAAGACAAAAGAAAAAGAAGGGAGUCUGUCAGACAGCCAUGAGACCAUCUUAGUAUGCCCGAUGACAAAAGAAAAAGAAGGGAGUGUGUCAGACAGCCAUGAGACCAUCUUAGUAUGCCCGAAGAAAAAAGAAAAAAAAGGAAGUCUGUCAGACAGCCAUGAGACCAUCUUAGUAUGCCCGAAGAAAAAAGAAAAAGAAGAGAGUCUGUCAGACAGCCAUGAGACCAUCUUAGACCCGAGAUCUCCGGUCUAAGAACGAUCAUCUACUGCAUCCACAGCUCGAGGAGCUAUGGAAGGCUGUUAAUCACGCUCUAGUCACCAUUACUAUAACAACAAAAGAUUAAAGUAUCAUACCCCAACAAAAAAGAUCAAAAUGUGUAGUCUAUGCGCGAAGACAAAAGAAAAAGAAGGGAGUCUGUCAGACAGCCAUGAGACCAUCUUAGUAUGCCCGAAGAUAAAAGAAAAAGAAGGGAGUGUGUCAGACAGCCAUGAGACCAUCUUAGUAUGCCCGAAGAAAAAAGAAAAAGAAGAGAGUCUGUCAGACAGCCAUGAGACCAUCUUAGACCCGAGAUCUCAGGUCUAAGAACGAUCAUCUACUGCAUCCACAGCUCGAGGAGCUAUGGAAGGCUGUUAAUCACGCUCUAGUCACCAUUACUAUAACAACAAAAGAUUAAAGUAUCAUACCCCAACAAAAAAGAUCAAAAUGUGUAGUCUAUGCGCGAAGACAAAAGAAAAAGAAGGGAGUCUGUCAGACAGCCAUGAGACCAUCUUAGUAUGCCCGAAGAUAAAAGAAAAAGAAGGGAGUGUGUCAGACAGCCAUGAGACCAUCUUAGUAUGCCCGAAGAAAAAAAAAAAAGUCUGUCAGACAGCCAUGAGACCAUCUUAGACCCGAGAUCUCAGGUCUAAGAACGAUCAUCUACUGCAUCCACAGCUCGAGGAGCUAUGGAAGGCUGUUAAUCACGCUCUAGUCACCAUUACUAUAACAACAAAAGAUUAAAGUAUCAUACCCCAACAAAAAAGAUCAAAAUGUGUAGUCUAUGCGCGAAGACAAAAGAAAAAGAAGGGAGUGUGUCAGACAGCCAUGAGACCAUCUUAGUAUGCCCGAAGACAAAAGAAAAAGAAGGGAGUGUGUCAGACAGCCAUGAGACCAUCUUAGACCCGAGAUCUCCGGUCUAAGAACGAUCAUCUACUGCAUCCACAGCUCGAGGAGCUAUGGAAGGCUGUUAAUCACGCUCUAGUCACCAUUACUAUAACAACAAAAGAUUAAAGUAUCAUACCCCAACAAAAAAGAUCAAAAUGUGUAGUCUAUGCGCGAAGACAAAAGAAAAAGAAGGGAGUCUGUCAGACAGCCAUGAGACCAUCUUAGUAUGCCCGAAGACAAAAGAAAAAGAAGGGAGUGUGUCAGACAGCCAUAAGACCAUCUUAGUAUGCCCGAAGAAAAAAGAAAAAAAGGGAGUCUGUCAGACAGCCAUGAGACCAUCUUAGUAUGCCCGAAGACAAAAGAAAAAGAAGGGAGUCUAUGCGCGAAGACAAAAGAAAAAGAAGGGAGUGUGUCAGACAGCCAUGAGACCAUCUUAGUAUGCCCGAAGACAAAAGAAAAAGAAGGGAGUGUGUCAGACAGCCAUGAGACCAUCUUAGUAUGCCCGAAGAAAAAAAAAAAGUCUGUCAGACAGCCAUGAGACCAUCUUAGACCCGAGAUCUCAGGUCUAAGAACGAUCAUCUACUGCAUCCACAGCUCGAGGAGCUAUGGAAGGCUGUUAAUCACGCUCUAGUCACCAUUACUAUAACAACAAAAGAUUAAAGUAUCAUACCCCAACAAAAAAGAUCAAAAUGUGUAGUCUAUGCGCGAAGACAAAAGAAAAAGAAGGGAGUCUGUCAGACAGCCAUGAGACCAUCUUAGUAUGCCCGAAGACAAAAGAAAAAGAAGGGAGUGUGUCAGACAGCCAUAAGACCAUCUUAGUAUGCCCGAAGAAAAAAGAAAAAAAGGGAGUCUGUCAGACAGCCAUGAGACCAUCUUAGUAUGCCCGAAGACAAAAGAAAAAGAAGGGAGUCUAUGCGCGAAGACAAAAGAAAAAGAAGGGAGUGUGUCAGACAGCCAUGAGACCAUCUUAGUAUGCCCGAAGACAAAAGAAAAAGAAGGGAGUGUGUCAGACAGCCAUGAGACCAUCUUAGUAUGCCCGAAGAAAAAAAAAAAAAGUCUGUCAGACAGCCAUGAGACCAUCUUAGACCCGAGAUCUCAGGUCUAAGAACGAUCAUCUACUGCAUCCACAGCUCGAGGAGCUAUGGAAGGCUGUUAAUCACGCUCUAGUCACCAUUACUAUAACAACAAAAGAUUAAAGUAUCAUACCCCAACAAAAAAGAUCAAAAUGUGUAGUCUAUGCGCGAAGACAAAAGAAAAAGAAGGGAGUGUGUCAGACAGCCAUGAGACCAUCUUAGUAUGCCCGAAGACAAAAGAAAAAGAAGGGAGUGUGUCAGACAGCCAUGAGACCAUCUUAGACCCGAGAUCUCCGGUCUAAGAACGAUCAUCUACUGCAUCCACAGCUCGAGGAGCUAUGGAAGGCUGUUAAUCACGCUCUAGUCACCAUUACUAUAACAACAAAAGAUUAAAGUAUCAUACCCCAACAAAAAAGAUCAAAAUGUGUAGUCUAUGCGCGAAGACAAAAGAAAAAGAAGGGAGUCUGUCAGACAGCCAUGAGACCAUCUUAGUAUGCCCGAAGACAAAAGAAAAAGAAGGGAGUGUGUCAGUCAGCCAUAAGACCAUCUUAGUAUGCCCGAAGAAAAAAGAAAAAAAGGGAGUCUGUCAGACAGCCAUGAGACCAACUUAGACCCAAGAUCUCCAGGUCUAAGAACGAUCAUCUACGGCAUCCACAUCAAGGAGCUAUGGAAGGCUGUUAAUCACGCUCUAGUCACAUGGCCAUGCUUCAUCAACCAGACUUGGAUUCCUGUCUUCUUAGAAUUUAAGAAUACGGUGGUACGAGCCUAUAGAACAGAUCCUGUUCAAGUAAGGUCGU